rnacentral:ncRNA from 2 species
GGUGGUGGUGCAUGGCCGU